GUGCCAGCCGCCGCGGUAAUACGGAGGAUCCAAGCGUUAUCCGGAUUUAUUGGGUUUAAAGGGUGCGUAGGCGGCCUGUUAAGUCAGGGGUGAAAGACGGUAGCUCAACUAUCGCAGUGCCCUUGAUACUGACGGGCUUGAAUUGACUAGAGGUAGGCGGAAUGUGACAAGUAGCGGUGAAAUGCAUAGAUAUGUCACAGAACACCGAUUGCGAAGGCAGCUUACUAUGGUCUUAUUGACGCUGAGGCACGAAAGCGUGGGGAUCAAACAGGAUUAGAAACCCUAGUAGUCC
rnacentral:rRNA from 1 species